rnacentral:lncRNA from 1 species
AAAAAAAGCAGAAAGAUAAAUCAGGACCAAAAAAGAAAACAAAAUACAUCAAAGCAACUAACGUAUUUGUAAGCAUGUCCUCCGUAACGACCUGUUGGCAGGUUUCUUGAACAAUAAUAAACUUAAUAACAAAAUUGGUGGUAACCUUACAUUACUCAUUAGCUUACCAUUUGAUGAUGAGAUAUUGAUUGAUGCACGUCCACAAGAGAACGAUUGACAAAAGCGUAUGAGAAACUCCACCUUUUAAAAAGUGUAAUAGUUAUAGCAGAAAAUGGAGUAAGAGAGGCCCCACUGUUGUUGCCACGUCUGUACCAGAAAGGGACUCCUGUGUCUUGGGCUACAAAUAUCUCAGAAAUGAUAUAAUGAUGGAAUGCUCACAUAUGUUCAUCAGUCUGGAGUCUGAAAACGAUUCUACUUUUUUAAAAGGUCCCUGGAAUAGUUGGAUAAAAUACUGCCAGCCUCUCAAAAUUCUCGUCAACAGAUUCCAUGUUUUAUAUUUGUGUUUG